AGUGAACGCUGGCGGUAGGCCUAACACAUGCCAGUCGAACGGCAGCACAGUAAGAGCUUGCUCUUACGGGUGGCGAGUGGCGGACGGGUGGGGAAUACAUCGGAAUCUACUUUUUCGUGGGGGAUAACGUAGGGAAACUUACGCUAAUACCGCAUACGACCUACGGGUGAAAGCAGGGGAUCUUCGGACCUUGCGCGAUUGAAUGAGCCGAUGUCGGAUUAGCUAGUUGGCGGGGUAAAGGCCCACCAAGGCGACGAUCCGUAGCUGGUCUGAGAGGAUGAUCAGCCACACUGGAACGGAGACACGGUCCAGACUCCUACGGGAGGCAGCAGUGGGGAAUAUUGGACAAUGGGCGCAAGCCUGAUCCAGCCAUACCGCGUGGGUGAAGAAGGCCUUCGGGUUGUAAAGCCCUUUUGUUGGGAAAGAAAAGCAGCAGGUUAAUACCCCGCUGUUCUGACGGUACCCAAAGAAUAAGCACCGGCUAACUUCGUG
rnacentral:rRNA from 1 species